rnacentral:rRNA from 1 species
GACGAACCGUGCGAACGUUGUUCGGAUUCACUGGGCUUAAAGGGCGCGUAGGCGGGCGGUCAAGUCGGGGGUGAAAUCUUUCAGCUUAACUGGAAAAGUGCCUCCGAUACUGAUCGCCUCGAGGGAGGUAGGGGCAUGUGGAACUUCCGGUGGAGCGGUGAAAUGCGUAGAGAUCAGGCAGAACACCUGGGGCGAAGGCGGCCAGCUGGGCCGUCCCUGACGCUGAGGCGCGAAGGCGUGGGGAGCGAACGGG